AAUCCAUACAAGACUACUAUAUAUCCAAAGCAAACCCUAGGGUUUCUUCCCAUUGCGAUAUCCAAUAUCCGCAUUGCGUUCAAAGAGGCGAUUCCUUAUCUAGAGUUUCUCCUUCAACAAUGAGAGCUAAGUGGAAGAAGAAGCGUAUGAGGAGGUUGAAGAGGAAGCGCCGAAAGAUGAGACAGAGAUCCAAGUAGAGGCGUCCGGCGCGCCGUCUCUAGGGUUUUAUCUUCGUUUACAUUAUCUAUUUUUCGAAUUUUGUUAUGUAGUGGAUUAUGACUCCUCUAAACUACAAGUUUUUGGAUCGUUUUAAGCAAUUGAGGUUUUCGUUA